GCUAGUUGUACGAGUUCAGACUCGUAGCGGAUAGCUCAGUAACACGUGGCCAAACUACCCUAUGGACCCAGACAACCUCGGGAAACUGAGGCUAAUCUGGGAUACGAUUCUCCCGCUGGAACUGCAGAGAAUCCGAAAUGCCCCGGCGCCAUAGGAUGUGGCUGCGGCCGAUUAGGUAGACGGUGGGGUAACGGCCCACCGUGCCGAUAAUCGGUACGGGUUGUGAGAGCAAGAGCCCGGAGACGGUAUCUGAGACAAGAUACCGGGCCCUACGGGGCGCAGCAGGCGCGAAACCUUUACACUGCACGCCAGUGCGAUAAGGGGACUCCGAGUGCGAGGGCAUAUAGUCCUCGCUUUUCACCACCGUAAGGUGGUGGUGGAAUAAGUGCUGGGCAAGACCGGUGCCAGCCGCCGCGGUAAUACCGGCAGCACGAGUGAUGACCGCUAUUAUUGGGCCUAAAGCGUCCGUAGCUGGCCGCGCAAGUCUAUCGGGAAAUCUGCUCGCCUAACGAGCAGGCGUCCGGUGGAAACUGUGUGGCUUGGGACCGGAAGACCAGAGGGGUACGUCCGGGGUAGGAGUGAAAUCCCGUAAUCCUGGACGGACCACCGGUGGCGAAAGCGCCUCUGGAGGACGGAUCCGACGGUGAGGGACGAAAGCUCGGGUCACGAACCGGAUUAGAUACCCGGGUAGUCCGAGCUGUAAACGAUGUCUGCUAGAUGUGCCACAGGCUA
rnacentral:rRNA from 1 species